rnacentral:rRNA from 1 species
UACGGAGGGGGCUAGUGUUGUUCGGAAUUACUGGGCGUAAAGGGCGCGCAGGCGGCUUGGCAAGUCGAGUGUGAAAUCCCUUGGCUUAACUAAGGAAUGGCGCUCGAAACUACCUCGCUAGAGGACGGGAGAGGGAAGUGGAACUCUCGGUGUAGGGGUGAAAUCUGUAGAUAUCGAGAGGAACACCUGCGGCGAAGGCGGGUUGCUGGGCUGACACUGACGCUGAUGCGCGAAAGCUAGGGGAGCGAACGGG